rnacentral:ncRNA from 2 species
UUAAUAAAUCUUUUGCCAUUAUGUAUAUCCUGGGGAUUGGCCCAGAGUCUCUACCAACUACCGAAAAGAGUUGACUACAUAUCUUAUGUAGUCAGCU